UACAGAGGGGGCAAGCGUUGUUCGGAAUUACUGGGCGUAAAGGGCUCGUAGGCGGCCAACUAAGUCAGACGUGAAAUCCCUCGGCUUAACCGGGGAACUGCAUCUGAUACUGGAUGGCUUGAGUUCGGGAGAGGGAUGUGGAAUUCCAGGUGUAGCGGUGAAAUGCGUAGAUAUCUGGAGGAACACCGGUGGCGAAGGCGGCAUCCUGGACCGACACUGACGCUGAGGCACGAAAGCGUGGGGAUCAAACAGG
rnacentral:rRNA from 1 species